rnacentral:rRNA from 1 species
CCCUUAGAUGUUCUGGGCUGCACGCGCGCUACACUGAUGCGUUCAACGAGUUUAUGACCUUGCCCGAUAGGGUUGGGUAAUCUUUUUAAAUCGCAUCGUGAUGGGGAUAGAUUAUUGCAAUUAUUAAUCUUCAACGAGGAAUUCCUAGUAAGCGCGAGUCAUCAGCUCGUGCUGAUUACGUCCCUGCCCUUUGUACACACCGCCCGUCGCACCUACCGAUUGAAUGGUCCGGUGAAGGCUUCGGAGGCGGCUUUCUCAAUGUUUAUUCGGCGAGACUGCUGCCAAAGUUGAAUGAACCUUACCAUUUAGAGGAAGGUGAAGUCGUAACA